rnacentral:rRNA from 1 species
CCUACGGGAGGCAGCAGUGAGGAAUAUUGGUCAAUGGGCGAAAGCCUGAACCAGCCAAGUAGCGUGCGGGAUGAAGGCCCUACGGGUCGUCAACCGCUUUUGCACGGGGAUAACACUCUCCAAUUGUGUAGGUCUGCAGGUACCGUGCGAAUAAGGGCCGGCUAAUUCCAUCCCAGCAGCCGCGGUAAUACGGAAGGCCCGAGGGUUAUCCGGAUUCAUUGGGCUUAAAGGAAGCGUAGGCGGUCGUUCAAGUCAGCUGUAAAAUCGCGGGGCUCAACCGCGCCCCGCAGUUGAAACUGGACGACUUGAGUGCACGAGAGGCAAGCGGAAUUCGUGGUGUAGCGGUGAAAUGCGUAGAUAUCAGGAGGAACACCGAUGGCGAAGGCAGCCUACCGGGGUGCGACUGACGCUGAGGCUCGAAAGUGCGGGUAUCAAACAGGAUUAGAUACCCGAGUAGUC